UAUUAUUUUGGUAAUGUGUAAGUUGUGCUAUUGUUAUUUUGGUCAGGCAGUUAAUUGGCCACCUAUGGCUGAGCACUAUAAAGCUGAGGUUUCAUUAGGACCUCUUCCUUUUCUGGCAUCUUCAGGAGUGGGAUCGAAGUCCAGCUGUUGCAGGCUGACUGUUGAAGUAAUUUGAUUCUUUUGUGUUUGAUGGUGUGCGUGCAUCUAGUGAACCACACACAUAAAUACAUACAAACUCUGAUCACACAUUGAUCAUUCUUACUCUGUGUUGUGGGUGUGAAGACUCAAUAAAGACUCAUUUCUUUGGA